ensembl:piRNA 21ur-3265 ncRNA
UGUUCCAGAGUUCCAACCUCA